GCCAACUACCCCUCCCUGACGGAAGGGGCUUGUCCCGUGAGGGGCAUCGCAAGAGUUGAUUAGGGGGCUUUGAAAACAUGGAGAAAAAUAUGAAAGAGAAGCAGAAGUUAGACCGGAGAAAUACAUACACACCUACGGAUGCUCCACAAGUCCGUGGCAACUGUG
rnacentral:sRNA from 14 species